rnacentral:rRNA from 1 species
AGCGUUCCGUAAGCCGUUGAAGGCAGACCCGUGAGGGCUGCUGGAGGUAUCGGAAGUGCGAAUGCUGACAUGAGUAACGACAAACGCUGUGAAAGACAGUGUCGCCGAAAGUCCAAGGGUUCCUGCGUAAAGUUAAUCUUCGCAGGGUUAGCCGGUCCCUAAGGCGAGGCCGAAAGGCGUAGUCGAUGGGAACCACGUUAAUAUUCGUGGGCCAGCGGGUGGUGACGGAUCUCGUGUAUCGUUUGGUCUUACUGGAUUGACCGGGCGAUGAAGAGGUUCCAGGAAAUAGCCCCCGCAUCAGACCGUACCCGAAACCGACACAGGUGGACUGGUAGAGCAUACCAAGGCGCUUGAGAGAAUGACGCUGAAGGAACUCGGCAAUUUGCCUCCGUAACUUCGGGAUAAGGAGGCCCAUGCGUCGCGCAAGCGGCGUGUGGGGGCACAGACCAGGGGGUGGCAACUGUUUAACAAAAACACAGGGCUCUGCGAAAUCGCAAGAUGACGUAUAGGGUCUGACGCCUGCCCGGUGCCGGAAGGUUAAGAGGAGAGGUGCAAGCCUUGAAUCGAAGCCCCGGUAAACGGCGGCCGUAACGAUAACGGUCCUAAGGUAGCGAAAUUCCUUGUCGGGUAAGUUCCGACCUGCACGAAUGGCGUAAUGACUUCCCCGCUGUCUCCAGCGUCAGCCCAGUGAAAUUGAAUUCCCCGUGAAGAUGCGGGGUUCCUGCGGUCAGACGGAAAGACCCCGUGCACCUUUACUGUAACUUUGCACUGGCAUUCGUGUCGGCAUGUGUAGGAUAGGUGGUAGGCUUUGAAACCCGGGCGCCAGCUCGGGUGGAGCCACCCUUGAAAUACCACCCUUAUCGUCAUGGAUGUCUAACCGUGGCCCCUCACCGGGGUCCGGGACAGUGCAUGGUGGGCAGUUUGACUGGGGCGGUCGCCUCCCAAAGAGUAACGGAGGCGCGCGAUGGUAGGCUCAGAGCGGUCGGAAAUCGCUCGUUGAGUGCAAUGGCAUAAGCCUGCCUGACUGCGAGACCAACAAGUCGAGCAGAGACGAAAGUCGGUCAUAGUGAUCCGGUGGUCCCGUGUGGAUGGGCCAUCGCUCAACGGAUAAAAGGUACGCCGGGGAUAACAGGCUGAUACUGCCCAAGAGUCCAUAUCGACGGCAGUGUUUGGCACCUCGAUGUCGACUCAUCACAUCCUGGGGCUGGAGAAGGUCCCAAGGGUUCGGCUGUUCGCCGAUUAAAGUGGUACGUGAGUUGGGUUCAAAACGUCGCGAGACAGUUUGGUCCCUAUCUGCCGUGGGUGUCGGAGAAUUGAGAGGAUUUGCCCCUAGUACGAGAGGACCGGGGUGAACAGACCUCUGGUGGAGCUGUUGUCGCGCCAGCGGCAGUGCAGCGUAGCUAUGUUUGGACGGGAUAACCGCUGAAAGCAUCUAAGCGGGAAACCCACCUCAAAACGAGUUCUCCCUCGAGAGCCGUGGAAGACCACCACGUUGAUAGGCCGGAUGUGGAAGCGCAGCAAUGCGUGCAGCUUACCGGUACUAAUCGC